GACGAACGCUGGCGGCGUGCUUAACACAUGCAAGUCGAGCGAUGAAGUUCCUUCGGGAAUGGAUUAGCGGCGGACGGGUGAGUAACACGUGGGUAACCUGCCUCAUAGAGGGGAAUAGCCUUCCGAAAGGAAGAUUAAUACCGCAUAAGAUUGUAGUUUCGCAUGAAACAGCAAUUAAAGGAGCAAUCCGCUAUGAGAUGGACCCGCGUCGCAUUAGCUAGUUGGUGAGGUAACGGCGCACCAAGGCGACGAUGCGUAGCCGACCUGAGAGGGUGAUCGGCCACAUUGGGACUGAGACACGGCCCAGACUCCUACGGGAGGCAGCAGUGGGGAAUAUGGCACAAUGGGGGAAACCCUGAUGCAGCAACGCCGCGUGAGUGAUGACGGUCUUCGGAUUGUAAAACUCUGUCUUCAGGGACGAUAAUGACGGUACCUGAGGAGGAAGCCACGGCUAACUACGUGCCAGCCGCCGCAGUAAUAC
rnacentral:rRNA from 1 species